GUAUAAAGGGAGCAAGUCGGUUGUGGUGUGCCGAGACCGACGAUACGGUAGGCCUGUAAAUAAAGAGGGCCCACCAAGGAGUAAGUAAGUAAAGUAAAUGGAAAGAAAAGAGAAAGUGUUGAAAUGAGGAGUGGGUGGGAGGGUCAUUCUGAUGCUGACCUCAAGCGACAUGAGUCAGGUAAGGGGUGUCCCUUAUAUAGGGGAGUGAAUUAAUUUAAGCCCCUCCCACAAAUACAGGCCAAAUGGCCUUAAAACUUGUGUUCGGG